CUGUCCUCUACCAAGUAUGAACGAGAACUUUUUCUAGGUAAUGAUAAGCCAUGAGGGUGUGUACUUACAGGCCUACAACAACAUGUAACACUAUAUGUCUGUCACGGACUCAGACUGGUAAAAACAGAUCCUUAGAUAAACAGGUUCCUUUGGUUCAGAGGAUCAUUCAGCCGAAUGCAGAAGGAUUAAACACUCAAAAGGUUCAGUCUUUCAAAAGCUCAGAAGAUAGUCAAAAAAGGGAAAACAGAGGAUCCAAGGAAAUUUGAACAAAUUCUAACAAAAGCGCUCACGCAAACUGGAAGUGGCAGGAAACAGCGGAGCACAGCAUAAGUCCUUGAGUCCAAGAUCGACGAGGCCAGACACAGACUGGAGAAUGCGGGAAACCUUUGUAGGGGAGUUAAUGAUGUGGUGAUUGCUUGCAGUUCUUACAGAUCAGUAACGUCUUGCAGAGGGGAGAAGCUGGAAAAAGUGAUGGCUGGAGUUGGGUAAGCUGCAACAGAUCACUGUUGGCAUGACGACUUUUGCUGGACGUCAACUUAGGACAGAGGGACGCUACCCACCUUCGUCUUGACCUAAGACAGAGAACCUCCCCACCACACACACACACACACACACACACGCACACACACACAUACUGUCUCUCAUGAACACGCACAAGCUUAAUCCACAAAUGGAUAUUUACACAUUUCAAUAAUUACAAUUCCAUGAACACUCCUUCGAGGUGUUAUAAAGUUCACAUGUGCAUGACGUGUGUUUAAUUGCUUUAAUGAAGCCAAAGGUAACAAGAGGUUAAGGGUGUGUGUGUGUGUGUGUGUGUGUGUGUGUGUGU